rnacentral:rRNA from 1 species
GACGAACGCUGGCGGCGUGCUUAACACAUGCAAGUCGAACGGAAAGGCCCUGCCUUUUUGGGCUGCUCGACUUGCGAACGGGUGAGUAACACGUGAGUAACCUGCCCUUGACUUUGGGAUAACUUCAGGAAGCUGGGGCUAAUACCGCAUAGGAGCUCCUGCUGCUUGGUGGGGGUUGGAAAGUUUCGGCGGUUGGGGAUGGACUCGCGGCUUAUCAGCUUGUUGGUGGGGUAGUGUCUUACCAAGGCUUUGACCGGUAGCCGGGCUGAUCGGGUAACCUGCUACACCGGACUGGGGCUGCGACACAGCCCCCUAUGGGAGGCAGCAGUGGGGAAGAUAGUACAAUGGGCGGAGGCCUAGUGUAGCAACGCAGCGUCGCGGAAGUGAGGCAUCGGGUUGUAUAGCGCUUCUGUUUGUGACGAAGCGUGAGUGACGGUAAUGGGUAAAGAAGCACCGGCUAACUCCGUG